GUGUCUUUGAGCAUAGAGCAGCACCCAAAUGAAGCAAGAAAGAAGAGAGUUUCAGUAAACAUAUUCUUAUUCAGAUUGAAACACUCAGCUCUACUCUACCUCACAGAUGACAUGACAAUCUCAGCGCAAAUGGGUUCUAAAGAGGAUCGAAAUUGUUUUGAGCAAAAUGAUGAGAAGUAAGGUACGAGAUGAUGGGAAGAUGUGAGACACCAAUUUCGUCCAACUGUUAGUAGGUUGAUGUUGAUAAAGAAGGCAAGGGUGAGUAUGAUGGGUCCGACUCUAGAACGGUUGAGGAGACUAUGGGACCUGUGGGAUAUUCGAGUGCUAGUUCUCGUUAGUCUCACUUUACAAAUCAUUCUUUUUAUCUUUGGCAAUCGCAGAAAGUACAUGUCAUUGAAAUGGAUCAACAUCUUUGUUUGGUUGGCCUACUUAGCUGCCGAUUCGAUAGCAACUUUUGCCCUUGGCAAUCUCUCUCGU